rnacentral:rRNA from 1 species
GAUGAACGCUGGCGGCGUGCCUAAUACAUGCAAGUCGAGCGAACAGACGAGGAGCUUGCUCCUUUGACGUUAGCGGCGGACGGGUGAGUAACACGUAGAUAACCUACCUAUAAGACUGGGAUAACUUCGGGACACCGGAGCUAAUACCGGAUGAUAUUUCGAACCGCAUUGUUCGAUAGUAAAAGACGGCUUUUCUGUCACUUAUAGAUGGACCUGGGCGGUAUUAGCUAGUUGGUAAGGUAACGGCCUACCAAGGCAACGAUGCGUAGCCGACCUGACAGGGUGAUAGGCCACACUGGAGCUGAGACACGGUCCAGACUCCUACGGGAGGCAGCAGUAGGGAAUCUUCCGCAAUGGGCGAAAGCCUGACGGAGCAACGCCGCGUGAGUGAUGAAGGUCUUCGGAUCGUAAAAACCUGUUAUUAGUGAAGAACAGACGUGUAAGGAACUGUGCACGUCGUGACGGUACCUAAUAAGAAAGCCACGGCUAACUACGUG